CUGUAGAAAACAAACACAUGCUAGCAAGAAAUAGAAAAAUAUCAUGAGCAAUGCACAAAAGAUAGUCCUACUACAUCACAAUCACGUGUCAUGGCUGAUGGAUCUUAGAGGAUUCAGUAGUUGGUUUUUUCUUACAUGGUGCAUUCCAUUAGCCUUUCACUUGAUGUUGUAGUAGUUGGCUUCUCAUUGAUGUUGCAUUCCACCUGUAGUAUCAUACAACAGUCCAGUUGCAAACAUCAACUAACCAAGCAACAUUCACAUUGCAUUUCCAACACCAGAACAUUCUGCAUCAUCAUCCAACUGUCAGCAAACAAUUAACCUACAACACACUUGUUGCAAUGCAAUGAAACAUAAACCAAAUGCAAUACAAAAGCCUAUAAUUUAUCACCAUACAUUGAAACAUGGACCAACAUGAGGCUAAAUGCUUACCUGCUCAGUGGCAAUAAUUCAGGAACAAGCUUGCAACCUUGCAACAAUCCUACAACUCACCAAGCCAUGAGCCAAGUACUAGACUUGCAGCAUAUCUAAGAUCCAAGAACAUGCAGCAGUACUGAACACGCCAAGAGGCUCAAUAUUGGAACCUAAUAACCUGCAGUGGAUAUGAGAAUCAUGAUGUCACUGCAAUGCUUUGCUCAAACUGGCUUUAACGUAUUGCUAGUAAUUAAGUCAGAACCUGCUGAACACUUUGCAAAAUCAGAACACCAUGACCUUUCAUCCAUUACUUGUUACCCUGCAAAUUGGUACAGCAAGAUGCAAUUGGCAAUGCACCAAUC
rnacentral:lncRNA from 1 species